rnacentral:rRNA from 1 species
ACAGCUCAAAUUUGAAAUCUGGUCCUUUCAGGUCCCGAGUUGUAAUUUGUAGAAGAUGCUUCGAGCGUGGCUCCGGUCUAAGUCCCUUGGAACAGGGCGUCAUAGAGGGUGAGAAUCCCGUAUGUGACUGGCUGCCUUCGCUUAUCGUGAAGCUCUUUCGACGAGUCGAGUUGUUUGGGAAUGCAGCUCAAAAUGGGUGGUAAAUUUCAUCUAAAGCUAAAUAUUGGCCAGAGACCGAUA